rnacentral:rRNA from 1 species
GACGAACGCUGGCGGCGUGCCUAAUACAUGCCAGUAGAACGCUGAAGGAGGAGCUUGCUCUUCUGGAUGAGUUGCGAACGGGUGAGUAACGCGUAGGUAACCUGCCUGGUAGCGGGGGAUAACUAUUGGAAACGAUAGCUAAUACCGCAUAACAGUAGAUGUUGCAUGACAUUUGCUUAAAAGGUGCAAUUGCACCACUACCAGAUGGACCUGCGUUGUAUUAGCUAGUUGGUGGGGUAACGGCUCACCAAGGCGACGAUACAUAGCCGACCUGAGAGGGUGAUCGGCCACACUGGGACUGAGACACGGCCCAGACUCCUACGGGAGGCAGCAGUAGGGAAUCUUCGGCAAUGGACGGAAGUCUGACCGAGCAACGCCGCGUGAGUGAAGAAGGUUUUCGGAUCGUAAAGCUCUGUUGUAAGAGAAGAACGAGUGUGAGAGUGGAAAGUUCACACUGUGACGGUAUCUUACCAGAAAGGGACGGCUAACUACGUG